UCAGAGCCCUGGAACCUGUGGUUUAG
rnacentral:piRNA from 1 species